rnacentral:rRNA from 1 species
UACGUAGGUGGCAAGCGUUGUCCGGAAUUAUUGGGCGUAAAGCGCGCGCAGGUGGUUCCUUAAGUCUGAUGUGAAAGCCCACGGCUCAACCGUGGAGGGUCAUUGGAAACUGGGGAACUUGAGCGCAGAAGAGGAAAGUGGAAUUCCAAGUGUAGCGGUGAAAUGCGUAGAGAUUUGGAGGAACACCAGUGGCGAAGGCGACUUUCUGGUCUGUAACUGACACUGAGGCGCGAAAGCGUGGGGAGCAAACAGG